rnacentral:rRNA from 1 species
AGGGCGGGACACGUGGUAUCCUGUCUGAAUAUGGGGGGACCAUCCUCCAAGGCUAAAUACUCCUGACUGACCGAUAGUGAACCAGUACCGUGAGGGAAAGGCGAAAAGAACCCCGGCGAGGGGAGUGAAAAAGAACCUGAAACCGUGUACGUACAAGCAGUGGGAGCACGCUUAGGCGUGUGACUGCGUACCUUUUGUAUAAUGGGUCAGCGACUUAUAUUCUGUAGCAAGGUUAACCGAAUAGGGGAGCCGAAGGGAAACCGAGUCUUAACUGGGCGUUAAGUUGCAGGGUAUAGACCCGAAACCCGGUGAUCUAGCCAUGGGCAGGUUGAAGGUUGGGUAACACUAACUGGAGGACCGAACCGACUAAUGUUGAAAAAUUAGCGGAUGACUUGUGGCUGGGGGUGAAAGGCCAAUCAAACCGGGAGAUAGCUGGUUCUCCCCGAAAGCUAUUUAGGUAGCGCCUCGUGAAUUCAUCUCCGGGGGUAGAGCACUGUUUCGGCAAGGGGGUCAUCCCGACUUACCAACCCGAUGCAAACUGCGAAUACCGGAGAAUGUUAUCACGGGAGACACACGGCGGGUGCUAACGUCCGUCGUGAAGAGGGAAACAACCCAGACCGCCAGCUAAGGUCCCAAAGUCAUGGUUAAGUGGGAAACGAUGUGGGAAGGCCCAGACAGCCAGGAUGUUGGCUUAGAAGCAGCCAUCAUUUAAAGAAAGCGUAAUAGCUCACUGGUCGAGUCGGCCUGCGCGGAAGAUGUAACGGGGCUAAACCAUGCACCGAAGCUGCGGCAGCGACGCUUAUGCGUUGUUGGGUAGGGGAGCGUUCUGUAAGCCUGCGA